rnacentral:rRNA from 1 species
AUUGAACGCUGGCGGCAGGCCUAACACAUGCAAGUCGAGCGGCAGCGGAAAGUAGCUUGCUACUUUGCCGGCGAGCGGCGGACGGGUGGGUAAUGUCUGGGAAACUGCCUGAUGGAGGGGGAGAACUACUGGAAACGGUAGCUAAUACCGCAUAACGUCGCAAGACCAAAGAGGGGGACCUUUGGGCCUCUUGCCAUCAGAUGUGCCCAGAUGGGAUUAGCUAGUAGGCGGGGUAACGGCUCACCUAGGGGACGAUCCCUAGCUGGUCUGAGAGGAUGACCAGCCACACUGGAACUGAGACACGGUCCAGACUCCUACGGGAGGCAGCAGUGGGGAAUAUUGCACAAUGGGCGCAAGCCUGAUGCAGCCAUGCCGCGUGUAUGAAGAAGGCCUUCGGGUUGUAAAGUACUUUCAGCGGGGAGGAAGGUGUUGUGGUUAAUAACCACAGCAAUUGACGUUACCCGCAGAAGAAGCACCGGCUAACUCCGUGCCAGCAGCCGCCGUAA